AGUAGAAGGCAGAGGGUAAACUUAACUGGUGCCAAAAAGCCAUAGUAAAACCAUUUGCUAUAGCGCCCUGUAUAUUUGGGGAAAAUAGAUUAUGUUUGCUACACAACACUAAUGUUAUCAACAGAGGCAAGCAAUUAUCCCCACACUGCAAAAAAGCAGAAGAAGGAGGAGGAAGAGAAAGAGCUACAUGCUUCUGUGAAUCAGAAUUUCAGAUUCACUGACAAAGAGGGCUCUUGAAAACCAUUGGACUGCACUGAUUUGCAAAACAAAGAAGAUGUGCCAGACCAGUUGUGAUUGUCAUUGAGGCAAGGUGGCAGCAGAAAAAUGGAGUGGUGGAGUCUACUACAUCUUGCUCUCCUAAGGACAGUAAAUACUUAUACAAGCCUAUGUUCCCAGCUCUGUGUCCUGGGUGCUUCUGGUUCUCUCCUUCUCAACCAUAACUCAGCCAAAGCUUCUUUGAGGACACUUGCAAGAUUCCCCAAAGAGCCUGAUGUGAAUUGGAAAACACUGGUCCCUGUUGAAAGUUUGGGAUUCUUUUUAUUUGGAAAAAAAGAUUGUAUAAGAGCUAAACUCUGGAUGCACAAGGAAGCACUAACUCACAUAACUGAAGCACCACUUGGAACUCUUCCUGCCUUUCAGUAACAUGGUGGUAUGUGACUAUAAUCACAAAAGAUGAAGCCACUCUGUUAAGAAGAAAAGCAAUGUGUGUGAAAAUGCCAAGUAUGAAUUUAGGGAUCAUGGAAAUUACCAGGAUGGCAACCAGAGGGAUGGAGAUCUGCUAUUUAUUCACAAAACAGAGACACCAAGAGGAUUGAUCAUUCAAAUUCUACCUUGCUUCUGGGCCAGUGUGCUUCCUGCAUGACUCGGAAGACAACUUCCAGCACUGAGAGGAUACUUUGGACUCCAUGCCCAUUCAGUCCUUAGCUUCUCAGCUGAGACUGCCACUGUGGCUAUGAAUUAGUCCUGCUUUUCUUAACUUUUGUGAUAUUGACAUGUGUACAUAUUGAUUGAAACCAUCCAACAGCCACAAAAUUGCAGCAAUUCUUGUCUUGAUUAAGAUCUGAAUUGUCUUUACAUAGGGUGACCAUAUUUCCCUUUGCUGAAUACGGGACACCUGGUAAAAUUAUUCUUAUUCAAGUGAGUUCAAUGGCAAUCAAUCAGAACUAUGCUGUACAAACAUUCAAAUUAACACCAAGUUGCCUGAGCCCCUAUUAAAAAGAAAUACUGUGUA